rnacentral:tRNA from 1 species
GCCUGGGUGGCUUGGCUGUUAAGCAUCUGACUUCGGUUCAGGUCAUGAUCCCACACAGUUUGUGGGUUCAAGUCCCACUUCGAGUC